AACGAACGCUGGCGGCAGGCCUCAAACAUGCAAGUCUAGGGGGUGUAGCAAUACAUCACCGGCGGACGGGUGCGUAACGCGUGGGAAUAUACCUAUUGGUUCGGAACAACACAGGGAAACUUGUGCUAAUACCGAAUGUGCCCUUACGGGGAAAGAUUUAUCGCCAAUGGAUUAGCCCGCGUCCGAUUAGCUAGUUGGUGAGGUAACGGCUCACCAAGGCUCCGAUCGGUAGCUGUUCUGAGAGGAAGAUCAGCCACACUGGGACUGAGACACGGCCCAGACUCCUACGGGAGGCAGCAGUGGGGAAUAUUGGACAAUGGGCGAAAGCCUGAUCCAGCAAUGCCGCGUGAGUGAUGAAGGCCUUAGGGUUGUAAAGCUCUUUUACCCGGGAUGAUAAUGACAGUACCGGGAGAAUAAGCCCCGGCUAACUCCGUGCCAGCAGCCGCGGUAAU
rnacentral:rRNA from 1 species